rnacentral:rRNA from 1 species
GGAGGGUGCAAGCGUUAUUCGGAAUCACUGGGCGUAAAGAGCGCGUAGGCGGUUUCUAAAGUCAGAUGUGAAAGCCCGGGGCUCAACCCCGGAAGUGCAUCUGAAACUUAGGGACUUGAGUAUGGGAGAGGGAAGUGGAAUUCCUGGUGUAGCGGUGAAAUGCGUAGAUAUCAGGAGGAACACCGGUGGCGAAGGCGACUUCCUGGACCAAUACUGACGCUGAGGCGCGAAGGCGUGGGGAGCAAACAGGGAUUAGAUACCCUGGUAGUCCACGCAGUAAACGUUGAACACUAGGUGUAGCGGGUAUUGACCCCCCUGCUGUGCCGCAGCUAACGCAUUAAGUGUUCCGCCUGGGGAUACGGCCGCAAGGCUA